rnacentral:rRNA from 1 species
GACGAACGCUGGCGGCACGCUUAACACAUGCAAGUCGAGCGAAGCGGCGGACGGGGGAGUAACACGUGAGUAACCUGCCUUAGACAUUGGGAUAGCCUCGGGAAACCGGGAUUAAUACCAAAUGGUCUAAGAUGGACUCGGGUCACAUUAGCUAGUUGGUGAGGUAACGGUCCACCAAGGCGACGAGGGGUAGCCGGCCUGAGAGGGUGAACGGCAACAUUGGAACUGAGAAACGGUCCAAACUCGACGGGAGGCAGCAGUGGGGAAUAUUGCACAAUGGAGGGAACUCUGAUGCAGCGACGCCGCGUGAACGAAGAAGGCUUUCGGGUUGUAAACCUCUUCGUUCGAGAGCGGGGUAGGUGGAGAAGAAGCGCCGGCUAACUACGUGCCAGCAGCCGCGGUAAUAC